CCUAGGUAUUGUCAUCUGAUAUUAUCAUCACUUAUUGUACCCUAUAUUAGUUUGACGUAAAAAUGAGCAUAAUUGUAGGCAAUAUAUGUUUCCUGGUGGUAGAAGUAAGUUUCAUCGCGCUCCUCCCGCGCGGUGCUUCUCGUCGCUGCAUUCCAGCACUCCGUGACGAGCUGCGAACGCGUCGCGUCGGGAUUCCUGAGGAUUACCCGGCGUGCCCCGCGGGAAAGAUGGCGUUGGACGGGAGGAGAUGGAGAUAAACUUUAUCUGAAAUCGGGAACAGCGGUUAUCUGCACCUGCGAUUCGUGGUAAGACUUCAGCUCCUCGCGGAGAGAUACCGGCGACAGGACGCGGGUCCGCGAUCGCUUCAGACGGCGCGAGCGGAGAGAUUUCAGCGGCCGCUAGCAACUGUGUGUGUGUGUGUGUUAGCCAGCGAGCAGAAGAAGAAGAAGAAGAAGAAGAAGCGGGCAAAGUUUAUUCAGUUUGAGCAGGAGUCAAGACCGAUCUAUACCAAACUCUGGGUUUAACUGCGGACAGUUCACUAGCGCCAGGUCAUUGAUAGCCCUGAGGUUCACAUGCUGAACAGGGGAGGAGGAGCGAGACGUGAGCUAGAUUUGAGUUUCCUUGGCGACCGGAGGGACCCACUUGGGGCAAUGACUCUGGAGAAUGCAGCACACACUUGAGGAGGCAUCAAGCCAAGAAGCCCAGUCCAAAGAACAACAUCUGUUGUCUGCAAGCCAUGUUCCAAGAAAAAUGCUCCAUGCUGUGAAAGAUAAGACUGUGCAGACAUUAGGAGAUGGGGUCGUUCUGAACACCAGCAUCGUUUGCACCAGUCAUCUGGAAAGUGGGCUGAAGGUGCCAGAUUUUGAAUCAGCUUUCACACGUUAAAUAUGUAAAGGCUAUGGUGAUAAGAUCCUUCAGAGGUUUUUUUUUUCCUAAAGGACAGACUGCUGUGAUUGGGAUGACCUGUUAUUCUGGACCUCUGGUUUCUCAGUAUUGAUACUAAAUCAAUACUGUAGGCAACAAUAACGGCAACAAAAUAGAUGACACUAACUUAAAAGUCCAAAUUUGAAUGAAAUGUAACAUGGAAAUGUCACAUGGGUUAAUAAAGUUUAAAUUUACAGUAGAUAGGUAAAAAUUUACUUUUUUCCUUGGAAAAAAAUGGUGUUAUUUUUUAGUUUUUAAGUAUUUCUAUUUAGUUUUAGUUUUAGUAAUUUCCUUUUCCUUAUUUCAAUUAACAAAAACCGUUUUGAAUACUUUGAUGUAGUUGAUAACAUAGCACUGAUAUUGACUUCAAUAUUUUGGUUAAUUUGAUUCUGCUUUCAG
rnacentral:lncRNA from 1 species